rnacentral:rRNA from 1 species
GGAUUGACGUGACGGUCGUGCCUUAAGGGGUAUGAACUGUCGCAGUUGAUUUCUCACCUUCUGGAGAAGCACGAUGUCCUUAAUUGGGUGUCAUGUGGAGCCAGGACCUUUACCUUGAAAAAAUUAGAGUAUUUAAAGCAGGCAUUUUGCUUGAAUACAUUAGCAUGGAAUAAUAGAAUAGGAUGGCAUGGUUCUAUUUUGUUGGUUUCUAGGAUCACGUA